rnacentral:snRNA from 1 species
AAUAUGCCUAUAUGCAAAUGCAA